rnacentral:rRNA from 1 species
GGGUGCGAUCAUACCAGCGCUAAUGCACUUGAUCCCAUCAUAACUCUAUAGUUAAGCAUGCUUAGACUAGAGUAGUACUGGGCUGGGUGACCUCACGAGAAGUCCUAGUGUUGCAGCCUC